UCAGCAGCCGCGGUAAUACGUAGGUGGCAAGCGUUAUCCGGAUUUACUGGGCGUAAAGCGAACGCGGGCGGCUUUUUAAGUUGGAUGUUAAAUCUCCUGGCUUAACUGGGAGCUACCGUCCAAAACUGGGGAGCUGGAGUGCAGCAGAGGGAAGUGGAAUUCCCGGUGUAGUGGUGAAAUACGUAGAUAUCGGGAGGAACACCAGUGGCGAAAGCGACUUUCUGGGCUGUAACUGACGCUGAGGUUCGAAAGCGUGGGGAGCGAACAGGAUCAGAUACCCUGGUAGUCCACGCUAUAAACGGUGGAUACUAGGUAUGGGGAGCAUCGACCCUCUCCGUGCCGAAGCUAACGCUUUAAGUAUCCCGCCUGGGGACUACGGCCGCAAGGCUAAAACUCAAAGGAAUUGACGGGGGCCCGCACAAGU
rnacentral:rRNA from 1 species